rnacentral:rRNA from 1 species
ACUCAAAUGAAUUGACGGGGACCCGCACAACCGGUGGAGCGUGUGGUUCAAUUCGAUACAAAGCGAAAGACCUUACCAAGGUUUGACAUGCUACCGUUUUAACCCGCUAGAAACAGUGGGCUAUCCGCAAGGAUGGUAGCACAGCUGCUGCAUGGCUGUCGUCAGCUCGUGCCGUGGGGUGUUCCCUUAAGUGGGAGAACGAGCGCAACCCGUGUCCAAUGUUAUAUGUUUCAUUGGAGACCGCCCACUCCUCGAGAGUAGAAGUAAUUCUAUUUUGGAGGAGUGGGAGGAAGGAACGGACGACGUCAAGUCAGCACGGCGCUUAUACCUUGGGAUACACACACCCUACAAUGGCGAAUAACAAUGGGAUGCGAACCAGCAAUGGCAAGCAAAUCCCUCAAAUUUCGCCUCAGUUCAGAUUGGGGUCUGCAACCCGACCCCAUGAAGUCGGAAUCGGUAGUAAUCGCAGAUCAGCAGGCUGCGGUGAAUACGUUCUCGGGUCUUGUACACACCGCCCGU